rnacentral:rRNA from 1 species
CCCCCUUUAGCAUCUCUGCCUAUAUACCGCCGUCGUCAGCUCACCCUUCUAGGGAAUGAAAGUAAGCAAAGUUGGUAAAACCCAAAACGCCAGGUCGAGGUGUAGUAUAUGAGGGGGGAAGAAAUGGGCUACAUUGACUAAUCUAGUCUAUCACGGAAAGUAAAGUGAAAACUGAUUUUUUGAAGGUGGAUUUAGAAGUAAGUGAAAAAUAGAGAGUUUCACUGAAUGCGGCUCUUAAGCGCGUACAUACCGCCCGUCACCUUCCCCAAAAAUUCCAAAACUUGAUUAAUAAUCCAUUAUUAAGUGAUUUUACAGGGGACGGAAGUCGUAACAUGGUAAGUGUACCGGAAGGUGUACUUGGAUU